CCGCCACGGCCCUCCCCCGCCGCUCCGGCCGCUUUGUGCCGCCGCGGUCCCCGCCGCUCCGUUGCCGCCGCGGGAUCCCGGCCCUCCGCCUGCCCCCGGGCCGGGGGUCCCGCGCGGCGGCGGCGGCGGCGGCGGCGGCGGCGGGAGGCUGCGGCCGAGCAGCGCGAAGGGCAGCGGGGGCGGCCCCGGCCCGUCCCCCCGGUGCCGGCAGCCGCGGCCGAGACCGAAACCGCCGCCCCAGCCCCGGCCCCGCCGGAGGAGUCACCGGCCGUCCCGGCGGGCGGGCAGGGCGGUGAGGGGGGCUGCGUGCCGGCCCGGAGCCCGCGGCCCGGCCCCACGGCACCCCAUGGCCCGCGUCACCCCGGCUCCGCAGCACCCCAGGGCUCAUGACACUCCGGGGCCCACGGCACCUUUGGGGCCGUGGCACCCCAGCCCCAUGGCACCCAGGGGCUCGCAGCACAGCAGGCCCCAUGGCACAUGGGGGCCCAGCGUAUCCGCUGCCACUGAGGCACUGCCGAGGGACUCACAGCAUCUCGGCGUGGUGCCGGGCACAGGCGAAGGCACUGCUUGUGGCUGAGCUGUCUGUAGGAUCAUUUGUGAAUCUACACGAAUAGUUAUCAGGCAUCAUCUUGUGUUGGAAAUAAUGGAUCAAGCCUUUUGGGCUAAGGUGUGAACAAAUACAGAACAAAAUGACGAUCCCUGAAUCAUGGAACUGGCAAUCUUGUCCUCUUUAGCCUAAUGUGAAAUCCUUCUGGCACCAAAAUGGUCAUCACAAAAGCUUGUUGGAGCCCCUUCUGCAGGUUGGACCAGACUGUGGGAAGUACAGAGAUAAGCAGAAGAGUGUGCAGCAGAUCUGCACUUAACCUCAGAAAUUCACUGUGGUAUUAUCAUUCAUACUAUAUUCUAGGAAAUGCUUUUUAAAACCAAACCUGUCUAUUUUCAAAUACGGUACUUAAAACGAAAUGUGUCUAUUUUAGAAUCUGGUAUUAUAUUACACAUUUUCAGUAACCCAACUUGCCAUCAGAACAUGACCAGUGUACUUUCAGUCAGAUCCUGCUUUCAAUUAAUAGCAAAUAUUAAAUAAGUUCUUUAUAACCACUGGUUUAGCUGACAGCUAAACCUCACAAACUCUUUCUUAAUUUGAAUUACAGACUGCAAUCAUUGUGGGUUAAAUCAUGUACUCACAAUUUGGGCAAAGAUCCCCUUUAGCGGAGCAUUUUGAUUAAGGAAAAAGAUCUGAGCUUCAGUUUACAAAGCUCAAGCUAUUGUUAUGUGAAUUCUAAAUUUCCAAACUCCUCAAAAGGGAUUAAUGCUGCAGUGUGCUAUUUGGUAUAGCCAACGGUAAUUAUUAAUUGGGAUUUGGAAGGUGACCACGUGGACUGAUUUCCAGCUGCCAGUAGAGCAGGAAAAAUUCUGUACUCAAUUGCAGUCUAGUAAACACUGUGUGGUCUGUUCUUUAUAAUUUCAGUGUAAAGCAAUCUUUUCAUUUUCAUAUAACAGAACAGCAAGCAAGCAUUGUGAGCAUACUACUUGUCUGAUAUAAAAAUAAAAGCUAUUAAAAGGAAGAGAUGAUGGAUGUCCACGUAACAAUGUAUUUUAAAAAUUAAUGACAGCAUAAGAAGGGGGUUAUUUUAAAAUGCUUGUUCAGGAUAAGAAUAGCCCAGAGGCUUUCCCACCCCCAGAAUAAUCCUGAAGACAUGCAAGUCUUAAAAUUUUAAAUAAAUGCUCAAUUGAGUGA